GGGUCUUUAAAGUCAGAUGGCCUGGGUCAGAGCAACAACAGGUGUCCUGGGUGGCAUUAGCAACGCUUAACUGAUGAGAGAGGCCGAAAGGUCACGGCCGACACCACAGACACACCCCCUUUUGACAGAGAGACUGCCUGCGACCACACACAGCUUUAAAAACAAGAAGGAACUGUGGACCGCUGCAGACUUUUCACCAGCAGCAGUGUUUUCGCUCCAAGGUCGAUGCUCAAAGCACCUGCCGCUCCUCGCUGCAUCUCUGACGGCUGGCAUUCAUCAAGAGAGUCGCAGUGAAUGAAUGUUGUGACACCUCUAACGGGGGGAAAAGCUGUCAUCAAACACCGUCAAUGCGCUAAACGGCACAGAAGUCAUCUGAUAGACGUCAGCGCGGUGAGAAAAGAUCCAAGGAUUUUGUUUUGUGCGAGGCGAUGACAGCGAUGAAGGAGAAAGUGGCGAUGAGUACGGCAGCACAUGACAGCAUGAAGAGGAGGUGCGGGUUGCCUGCGAGUGACACAGGAAAAAACAUAAGCGUGUUAUCUGUGAAUGUAUAGUUCUAAUCGAUAACAAUAUUUGAAACUGCUGUUCAUGUGCAAAUAAUUAAUCUGAGUGUUUUUAAUUUAAAAUGAUUGUAAAUAUCUAUGUGUAGAUCUCAUUUAGGGUGAAAUAAAGGAAGAUGCUGUCUUUCAACUGUCAUCUGCUCAAUAUUAUGGGAUGUCUGUUGUAUCAAUCAAACAAACAAACAAACAAAUAAACAAUCAAUCAAUCAAUCAUUCUAUAAAAUAAUCAAACAAUCAAUCAAUAUGUUGGUCGGUGAGUCGGCCAGUUGGUCGAUCGAUCAAUCAAACAAAGUAACAAUCAAUCAAUCAAUCAAUCAAUCAACCAAACAACCAAACAAACCCCAGUAAAGUUACGAUUUUCCAUUCGAAUGUGACAUCAAAAGUUGGUUAAUCUGAGUUUCAUUUGGAUCGUUAGAGCAGCGAAUCGAUCAGACAUGUGCUGACCACGCUGUCUCCCUGUCUCCUCGCUCUCUGUGGAACUAACACAGCUAAAUGCCACAUGGUACGUUUCUCUCUGAAACACCUCAUGACACAACACAGCUCAUCGCAGUUACAAGAAUCUUUUUGAUUGUAAAACAUGAACGAAUUAUUAGCUGCAUGCACGCGCUAGAUGAAACUGGUAAAUCAGAACAAAGAGUCAUUGAUUUUUGGUUCAUUCGGAUUCAAAAUGUCAUUAAGUCUACAUAGGGAAUUAUAUGGAGAGGUAGGGGAGCCUUGCAGAAAGUGGUCGGGAACGUUGAAAAGCUUUAGUCAGAGUUUGCAAAUGAAUGAAC